CAGUGGGGAAUCUUGCGCAAUGGACGAAAGUCUGACGCAGCGACGCCGCGUGCGGGAUGAAGCUCUUCGGGGUGUAAACCGCUGUUGCCCGGGACGAAUCCCUGGUUCAUCCAGGUUGACGGUACCGGGUGAGGAAGCACCGGCUAACUCUGUGCCAGCAGCCGCGGUAAUACAGAGGGUGCGAGCGUUGUCCGGAAUCACUGGGCGUAAAGGGCGCGUAGGUGGCUUGGUAAGCGUGUGGUGAAAGCUCGGGGCUCAACCCCGAGUCUGCCGUGCGAACUGCCGAGCUCGAGCAUAGUAGAGGCAGAUGGAAUUCCGGGUGUAGCGGUGGAAUGCGUAGAGAUCCGGAAGAACACCGGUGGCGAAGGCGGUCUGCUGGGCUAUUGCUGACACUGAGGCGCGACAGCGUGGGGAGCGAACAGGAUUAGAUACCCCGGUAGUC
rnacentral:rRNA from 1 species